GGGCGAGUAGCUCAGUGGACUAGAGCACAUGGCUACGAACCAUGGUGUCAGGGGUUCGAAUCCCUUCUUGCCCA
rnacentral:tRNA from 1 species